rnacentral:lncRNA from 1 species
AUCUAAUGCUGUUUUAGCUAGCAACCAAGAGAGCAUCACAGCUCCAAAGCCGCUUCGUGUUAGUUCAAACUUGGUCAACCGGCUAGAAGAUUUAUCUCAGCCUUGGACGCGUUCUCCCACAAAGUCCAAAAUGGAACCUGUCUUAGCAACAUGGCAUUUUGUCUCACUGGAUCCAGCGCUUGCUCAUGGCUCUGUUACUGACGUUUCCCCACAAAGUCCAAAAUGGAACCUGUCUUAGCAACAUGGCAUUUUGUCUCACUGGAUCCAGCACUUGCUCAUGGCUCUGUUACUGGUAUGUUUGUCUUACUGGGAACAAGCGGUGAUCUACAUGUCGUCAUCAAUUGUCCAUUUGUUUCAAUCCCGCUCAUAAAACAGCAAC